rnacentral:rRNA from 1 species
ACUCCUACGGGAGGCAGCAGUGGGGAAUAUUGCACAAUGGGGGAAACCCGUAGCAUGCAGCCAUGCCGCGUGUGUGAAGAAGGCCUUCGGGUUGUAAAGCACUUUCAGUAGGGNGGAAGGUAGUGUAGUUAACACCUGCACUAUUGACUGUUACCUACAGAAGAAGCACCGGCUAACUCCGUGCCAGCAGCCGCGGUAAUACGGAGGGUGCGAGCGUUAAUCGGAAUUACUGGGCGUAAAGCGCAUGCAGGCGGCCUGUUAAGUCAGAUGUGAAAGCCCGGGGCUUAACCUCGGAAUUGCAUUUGAAACUGGCAGGCUAGAGUCUUGUAGAGGGGGUGA